CAGCAGCCGCGGUAAUACGGAGGAUGCAAGCGUUAUCCGGAUUUAUUAGGUUUAAAGGGUGCGUAGGCGGAAACUUAAGUCAGUGGUAAAAGGCAAUAGCUUAACUAUUGUAAGCCUUUGAUACUGGGUUUCUUGAGUUCGGUAGAGGUAGGCGGAAUGUGUUGUGUAGCGGUGAAAUGCAUAGAUAUAACACAGAACACCGAUUGCGAAGGCAGCUUACUAUGCCGUUACUGACGCUGAGGCACGAAAGCGUGGGGAUCAAACAGGAUUAGAUACCCUGGUAGUCCACGCCGUAAACGAUGAUCACUCGUUGUUGGCAAUACACAGUCAGCGACUGAGCGAAAGCAUUAAGUGAUCCACCUGGGGAGUACGUUCGCAAGAAUGAAACUCAAAGGAUUGACGGGGCCCGCACCAGCGGAGGAACAUGUGGUUAAUUCGAUGAUACGCGAGGAACCUUACCUGGGCUUAAAUGUAGAGUGCAUGAGGUAGAAAUACUUCUUUUCUUCGGAACUCUCUGCAAGGUGCUGCAUGGUUGUCGUCAGCUCGUGCCGUGAGGUGUCAGGUUAAGUCCCAUAACGAGCGCAACCCUUAUCGUUAGUUGCCAGCGGGUAAUGCCGGGGACUCUAGCGAAACUGCCGGUGUAAACCGAGAGGAAGGUGGGGAUGACGUCAAAUCAGCACGGCCCUUAUGUCCAGGGCUACACACGUGUUACAAUGGCCGGUACAGAGGGCAGCUACCUGGAGACAGGAUGCGAAUCUCGAAAGCCGGUCUCAGUUCGGAUCGGAGUCUGCAACUCGACUCCGUGAAGCUGGAUUCGCUAGUAAUCGCGCAUCAGCCAUGGCGCGGUGAAUACGUUCCCGGGCCUUGUACACACCGCCCGUCAAGCCAUGGAAGUUGGGGGUACCUG
rnacentral:rRNA from 1 species